GGUUUGUUCAGAGGUAAUGAGUUAUCUUAAUUGAUUGUUCACAGUCACAGUUUAAACUCCUGUUCUGCUUUUUACCUGCUUCUCGCUAUUGCACUUGACUAAUCUUAA
ensembl:misc_RNA Y_RNA Y RNA